GGUAGAGAUAACAGUGAGGGUGGAGAGAGUGAAUAAUGAGGAGGGUAGAGAGAACAGUGAGGGUAGAGAGAACAGUGAGGGUGGAGAGAAUAGGGAGAACAGUGAGGAUAAGAGAAUAGGGAGAAUAGUGAGGGUAGAGAGAACAGUGAGGGUAGAGAGAGUGCGGGAAGGAACACUAUGAAGAGGUCCUGAAUAAAAUUCCCGAGACAUCCCCCUAGUCACAGAGGAAGCAGGAAAAGACCUAAACAUAAACUGUGGUAGGAUAUCUAAGGAGGAAAUAAGGAGUCAGCAAAAAACUGAAGUUUGGCAGGGAAGGAUAAUCCCACCUGAUACUGAAAGCAGACAUCAACGCCACCACUGAUAUACUCCAUGGGCUCCCCUAAAUUACAUCUGGGAAGAGGAAGAGAUUCCCAAUGACUGGAAGGAGGGGUUAAUUGUCACAGUCCCGAAGAAAGGAAACCUCAGUGAAUGUAAAAACUCAGAACCAAGCAAAACCCUCUGCUUAAUUAUCCCAGACAGAAUUCACGAUUUUCAGGAGAGAGCAAGCAGGUUUCCAGAAAAACAACUCCUCUACAGAUCACACUGCAUCACUCAGAAUAUUAGUUGCUUUCGACAGUCUAGACAGAAACAUUUAUUUGAACAUGCUCAGACAUUAUGGAAUACCCAUACAACUGGUCAACGUCAUCAAAUCACAGGUUAAGAUAUCUCAGUGCUGCCUACCAGCCCUGAUUUUGCUGAUGAACUGACUCUGAUAUCAGGAACACAUACAAGCAUUCAAUGCAAAACAAAAAUAAACAAAAAUAUUAUAUAAUAAUCAGUCCCUCCAGAAAAAAAUUCCAGCGUUUUUUUGCGAUGGUUGCAGCCAAAAAUCCUUGAUUAGGCGGCACGUUUUCUUAAAAAAUGCGAUGAAAUAUGCGGCACAUUUAUGCAAUUUUAUGAGAUGAAAUUGGGGGAACUUGCAAAAAUUGCGGGAACUUGCGAAAAAUGCAGCUUUUCAAUGACGCUCACGUUGCGUAAUUACGUCACUUCAUAACAUUCCCAUGGCAACAGGGGGAAAUGGCUGAUCUUGUAUGAAGUAAACGCAAUUUUUUCAACUUUCUGCUAAGAUAUGUGACUUUUUUGAAACGGAAAUGCAGGGAUUAUGAAAUCAUGCAAGCCCCGCAUAUUUUGCGCGGAUAUCGGCAAUUUAUGUGGUGAAAGUGCGGCAUAUUUGAAAAAAUGCGGCCCCGCAUGAAUAUGCAGACUUUGGCUUAUUAUGUGUUGAAUUAUGCGAUCGCCUAAUCGCGUUUCUGGAGGGACUGAAUAAUACAAUUAAGGGUACAUAUCCAAUAAACAAACCUAUUCAAUGAAAAAUCAACAACAAAAAAAUAUCAACAGAUGACUUGCGAGUUCCCUCCCUCAUUAAAAUUCCAACGUCUUGCUUUGAUUAUUUCCUUCCUCAUAUUUGGUGUCGUUUUCUUUUAUAUUCCACCCAUUUAUCCAGCUUUGAUUACAAUUCCCCCUCCUGGAGCCUCAAUAUGGGUGUGAAUCUUUCCAGGUCAAAUAUUUCAUCUAUACUCCCAGGCAUUGUUCUUUUUUCGGUGGUUCUGCUUUGUACGACGAUUUGGCUAUAGUUUCCUUGCAGCAGUGUCUUGAGCAGGUAUCUGUCCCUAUCCUGUGUGUUUUCCUGUUUCAGAUUCACCCGGUACAGGGCUGGUCUUAGGUAUCUCAUAGCCUAGUGUCGCCUUUAAUAUUCCCCAUAUUUCUUCCAAAUACUUUUUCCACCUUUUGGCAUUUCCAGAAUAUGUGCGUAUGGUCAGCCUCAAUCCGUCCGCAUUGCCUCCAACACAUGUUCUGUUACUG
ensembl:lncRNA